rnacentral:lncRNA from 1 species
GGAAAAAUCGCCAGAACAAUGCAGUCGAUUGGUGCGAAUGCUUCCCCCAUUGGGGAAAACUUCCUUAAAACUUGCAUCAAGUGACAUCAGCAGUACUCUUCCGCUUGGCAGAACUGAUAGUAAUAAAGAAUCUGAAUCUAUUAUGGAUCAUGAAACAGGAGAUAAGAAAGAGAAGAACAGUGAUACAGAGGACAACUCAACAGACAAUGAUUCAGAUGAAAAUGAAGAAAGAACCCUUGGUGAUACUACAGAUGUCCUAAAUAUGACCCAUGUGAUGAGACUAAAUCCAAAUGACCAAUUGGUAGAAUUAGCACCAGUUCAAAAACAAAAGUUUCAACAGUCAUCUGAUGAGGAAGAUAGAAGUGAUAGUUAUAAUACCGAAGAACAAGUAGAACAAGAACAAAAAGGGAAACAUCAAGAAAAACAAUUUAAUACUGCUCAGGUUCCUAAAGAGGAAAAGAGCAAUACAUAUUUUGAGAAUGGAGAAAAUAAUCAUAUGGCUGUAGAAACCAUAGAGGAUCAAAAUAUGUCUGAUGAGGAAGCAACUUGUAUUAGCAGUGAUGAUGACAAUGAAAAAGUCCAUGAUGAAAACAAAGAUUGUGAAAAAGAAGAGAAAGAACCAGAUGCAGCAGAAUAUUAUGAAGAUCAAGCUCUUAAUGAAGAGGAACUAAGCAGUCUAUUAUGUGAAAAUGAAGAAAAGAAUCUUAUAAAUAUGGAAACAACAGAGGUAAAUAUU